GUACCUCCUUGAACUACUUCAUAACUUGUCGAGAAAAGCAGUUUGCAGCAAGGGCAUGUGGGAUGCACCUAGUAUUAAAAUUGCUUUGUCUUAAAAUUGAGGUGAGGAUAUUAAAAACGUGUGAAGAAGACUGCUUAUCUCAGAGUGAAGAUAACUGUGGCUGAAAAGUACUAGUUUGAUACUUAAGAUUUUAAUGACCAAAACCCUCCGACUUGGAAGCUGAAGAAGGUAAACUUCUCCAUUAUUACAGUGCAAGUGGUGGACUCUCCAGUGCAUUGCCUGUCUAGUUAUUUAUCAGCCUGUUUCUAUUGAUGGAGGACUUCAUAUGUGGGAGGGAACACUGUUUCUGUUUGCCUGAUUCAAGUGUCUGAGAAACAAAUGUUCUAGGCUGCAGUGGGAAAACUUUGAACAGGGUUUUGGCGUUUCCUUUUCUUUAUAAAACGUGCUCAGCAAACUGCACCAGUUACCUACAGUUUGGUAAAUUGUUAUGUUAACAAUUAUGACAUCUGCAGUGUUUUAUAAAGCAACUAAUUUAAUAAAAUCACUAUUGUGAGGACUU
rnacentral:lncRNA from 1 species